UGAGGCAGGAGAAUUGCUUGAACCCAGGAGGUGGAGGUUGCAGUGAGCCGAGAUCGCGCCACUGCACUCCAGCCUGGUGACACAGCGAGACUCCAUCUCA
ensembl:miRNA